rnacentral:rRNA from 1 species
AGAGUUUGAUCCUGGCUCAGGACGAACGCUGGCGGCGUGCCUAAUACAUGCAAGUAGAACGCUGAAGGAGGAGCUUGCUUCUCUGGAUGAGUUGCGAACGGGUGAGUAACGCGUAGGUAACCUGCCUGGUAGCGGGGGAUAACUAUUGGAAACGAUAGCUAAUACCGCAUAAGAGUAGAUGUUGCAUGACAUUUGCUUAAAAGGUGCAAAUGCAUCACUACCAGAUGGACCUGCGUUGUAUUAGCUAGUUGGUGGGGUAAGGGCUCACCAAGGCGACGAUACAUAGCCGACCUGAGAGGGUGAUCGGCCACACUGGGACUGAGACACGGCCCAGACUCCUACGGGAGGCAGCAGUAGGGAAUCUUCGGCAAUGGACGGAAGUCUGACCGAGCAACGCCGCGUGAGUGAAGAAGGUUUUCGGAUCGUAAAGCUCUGUUGUAAGAGAAGAACGAGUGUGAGAGUGGAAAGUUCACACUGUGACGGUAUCUUACCAGAAAGGGACGGCUAACUACGUGCCAGCAGCCGCGGUAAUACGUAGGUCCCGAGCGUUGUCCGGAUUUAUUGGGCGUAAAGCGAGCGCAGGCGGUUAGAUAAGUCUGAAGUUAAAGGCUGUGGCUUAACCAUAGUAGGCUUUGGAAACUGUUUAACUUGAGUGCAAGAGGGGAGAGUGGAAUUCCAUGUGUAGCGGUGAAAUGCGUAGAUAUAUGGAGGAACACCGGUGGCGAAAGCGGCUCUCUGGCUUGUAACUGACGCUGAGGCUCGAAAGCGUGGGGAGCAAACAGGAUUAGAUACCCUGGUAGUCCACGCUGUAAACGAUGAGUGCUAGGUGUUAGACCCUUUCCGGGGUUUNUUUCCUUUCUGUUGAUAGGCUAGUAACAGACGAUUGAUUUGUCUUUCAGAAAGAUUGAGUUCGACACAGGCCCGUUUCUUUGUUUUCUUUCCUUGGGCUAUAGCUUUUAUCACAAGAUAUUUUUUCGUUUCAUUCAUAUUCAGUUGGAUCCUUUUCAUAUGACUAUUCUACCAAAUGUGACAUUUUCACGUUCGAUUUACUAAAGACAUUAUCACAUUCGAAUCACAACACAAAUAAAAAAUCUUCCAAUUCCCUUGCAAAAAACAAGAAAGUGUGAUAACAUAGUACGGUAUGUGGUGCUAGCACAUCCGCUAUAUUAGAUCUAAUAGGAGGAAAACACAAUGGCUAAAGUAUGUUACUUUACAGGUCGUAAGACUGUAUCAGGAAACAACCGUUCACACGCGAUGAACCAAACAAAACGUGCCGUAAAACCAAACCUUCAAAAAGUUACUGUUCUUAUCGAUGGUAAACCUAAAAAAGUUUGGGCUUCAGCUCGUGCUUUGAAAUCAGGUAAAGUUGAACGCGUUUAAUAAUAAAAGCAAAGGAGACCUUAGGGUCU